GAUAAAAUUGUAUCAUCUUCUUCAAGUUACCAGCAGACCCUUACCUCUCUCCAUAGCUGGGGUUUCUUUAACUUUCAAGCUUCAUAAUCAAGAAGAGCGAAAUUCGAGAGUAGAUCGGGGAAAAGAAAAAGUAAAGGACUACAUUGUAAAGUUUAGUCACAUUUUGUAUCGAGUACUUAUCUAGUCACUCGG